rnacentral:rRNA from 1 species
UAGUCCACGCCCUAAACGAUGCUAACUCGACGUAUGGAUUUAAUCUGUGCGUCCAAGGGAAACCGUUAAGUUAGCCACCUGGGGAGUACGUUCGCAAGAAUGAAACUCAAAGGAAUUGACGGGGGCCCGCACAAGCGGUGGAGCAUGUGGUUUAAUUCGAUGCAACGCGAAGAACCUUACCAGGUCUUGACAUACAGCGAACUUUCCAGAGAUGGAUUGGUGCCUUCGGGAACGCUGAUACAGGUGCUGCAUGGCUGUCGUCAGCUCGUGUCGUGAGAUGUUGGGUUAAGUCCCGUAACGAGCGCAACCCUUGUCCUUAGUUGCCAGCACAUAAUGGUGGGAACUCUAGGGAGACUGCCGGUGACAAACCGGAGGAAGGUGGGGACGACGUCAAGGUCAUCAUGGCCCUUACGACCUGGGCUACACACGUGCUACAAUGGAACGCACAGAGGGCAGCAAACCCGCGAGGGGGAGCGAAUCCCACAAAACGUUCGUAGUCCGGAUUGGAGUCUGCAAC